rnacentral:rRNA from 1 species
CUUCGCCUACGGAGGCAGCAGUGAGGAAUAUUGGUCAAUGGUCGGGAGACUGAACCAGCCAAGCCGCGUGAGGGAGGAAGGUACAGAGUAUCGUAAACCUCUUUUGUCAGGGAACAAAGGCGGGGACGUGUCCCCGGAUGAGUGUACCUGAAGAAAAAGCAUCGGCUAACUCCGUGCCAGCAGCCGCGGUAAUACGGAAGGUCCGGGCGUUAUCCGGAUUUAUUGGGUUUAAAGGGAGCGUAGGCCGGGUUUUAAGCGUGCCGUGAAAUGUCGGGGCUCAACCUUGACACUGCGGCGCGAACUGG